UACGGAGGAGGCAAGCGUUAUCCGGAAUUAUUGGGCGUAAAGCGUCCGCAGGUGGCACCUCAAGUCUGCUGUCAAAGACCGGGGCUUAACCCCAGAAAGGCAGUGGAAACUGAAGUGCUAGAGUGCAGUAGGGGUAGAGGGAAUUCCCAGUGUAGCGGUGAAAUGCGUAGAGAUUGGGAAGAACAUCGGUGGCGAAAGCGCUCUACUGGACCUCAUCUGACACUCAGGGACGAAAGCUAGGGGAGCGAAUGGG
rnacentral:rRNA from 1 species